rnacentral:rRNA from 1 species
UACGUAGGGUGCAAGCGUUGUCCGGAAUUAUUGGGCGUAAAGAGCUCGUAGGCGGUCUGUCGCGUCUGCUGUGAAAACUCAGGGCUUAACCCUGAGCUUGCAGUGGGUACGGGCAGACUAGAGUGCGGUAGGGGAGACUGGAAUUCCGUGGUGAUGAGCGGUGAAAUGCGCAGAGUAUCAGGAGGAACACCGGUGGCGAAAGGCGGGUCUC